rnacentral:tRNA from 1 species
AAGAUAGUUACAUAGGGUAAUGUAUAUUGUUUGUAAAACAAUUAUUAAUUUAAUCUUAAUAGCAGUUCAACUCUGCACUAUCUCA